ACUCCUACGGGAGGCAGCAGUGGGGAAUAUUGCACAAUGGGCGCAAGCCUGAUGCAGCCAUGCCGCGUGUAUGAAGAAAGGCCUUCGGGUUGUAAAGUACUUUCAGCAGUGAGGAAGGCGGAGUCGUUAAUAGCGGCCUCGUUUGACGUUAGCUGCAGAAGAAGCACCGGCUAACUCCGUGCCAGCAGCCGCGGUAAUACGGAGGGUGCGAGCGUUAAAUCGGAAUUACUGGGGCGUAAAGCGCAUGCAGGUGGUUCGUUAAGUCAGAUGUGAAAGCCCGGGGCUCAACCUCGGAAUUGCAUUUGAAACUGGCAGACUAGAGUACUGUAGAGGGGGGUAGAAUUUCAGGUGUAGCGGUGAAAUGCGUAGAGAUCUGAAGGAAUACCGGUGGCGAAAGGCGGCCCCCUGGACAGAUACUGACACUCAGAUGCGAAAGCGUGGGGAGCAAACAGGAUUAGAUACCCUGGUAGCACAGAG
rnacentral:rRNA from 1 species